GUGUGUGAGCUCUCUCUCUCUCUCUCUCUUUUAUUGGUGACACACAAAUACUGAAGUUUAGCAAGAAUUGAGAGUAAAAUAUCAAGGCAUUUUGCAAGAAAUUCUUGUGUGUUUCAAGAAGUGCGAACCUGAAGCUAUAUGAACCAGAUAGAAAAACCAAUGUUAUGUUUCUCUCUUUUAUUCUAGUUCAAUUGUAGUAUGGCUUUUAAGUUGUACCUUUUUGUUUUCUUGAUAAGCAAAUUAUCACAGGUACUUGAAUUGUAAUGGUCAAGUUAGAAUUAACUUGAAGGUGUUUUAACAUCCUGUAGCUGGUUGCUACAAGGGUUAGAGGUAAUACUUAUGUCUACAAGAGUUUUCUCUACACUUUUAUUUGGCUCAG
rnacentral:lncRNA from 1 species